GACGAACGCUGGCGGCGUGCUUAUCACAUGCAAGUCGAGCGGUAAGGCCCUUUCGGGGGUACACGAGCGGCGAACGGGUGAGUAACACGUGGGUGACCUGCCCUCAGCUCUGGGAUAAGCCUGGGAAACCGGGUCUAAUACUGGAUAUGACUCCAUGACGCAUGUUGUGGGGUGGAAAGCCUUGUGCGGCUGAGGAUGGGCCCGCGGCCUAUCAGCUUGUUGGUGGGGUGAUGGCCUACCAAGGCGACGACGGGUAGCCGGCCUGAGAGGGCGACCGGCCACACUGGGACUGAGACACGGCCCAGACUCCUACGGGAGGCAGCAGUGGGGAAUCUUGCGCAAUGGGCGAAAGCCUGACGCAGCGACGCCGCGUGAGGGAUGACGGCCU
rnacentral:rRNA from 1 species